GUGAGCCAAGCCGGGGUAGGGGUGGGUGAGUGUGGGACAGGUGCUGAGGUUGGCCCUCGAAUCAGGUUAAGCAUGUCCUCAGAGGCCUGGUUGCGUGCCCUCACUGCCCCAUGAGUCCCACAUCACAGUCCCUGCCCUCAUUCCUUCUCCGCUCGUGCAAGUAGACCACCUUGUGUCCGUGACAGCCCAUCUUGCACCAGGAUAGUGUCAGCUCUGCAUUGGGGUUUCUGGUGAAUGCGUCACAGCCCCUCACCCAUGACAUCUAGAUGACCUCACCUUGUUAAUGGACACAUCUGUGUGUGUGAUUCUACAGAAUGAGGACACACACUUUACUCUUCCCAGAGGGAGGGGCAUCUAGGUGGUUUCCCGUCUUUUGCUAUUGUAGAUAAUGCCACAAAUACAACCAACUUUUGAUUGCAAGUUACAGGAACCUACUCCAACAAGCUAAGCAACAGGGAUGCGAAGCCCUAGAACCAGGGGGAAGGUGGGCACCGGACCCCCUGCUGCUCCUCCCUUCCCUCCCCUGCCCCUUCACCUCUUCCUCCCUCUCUGAACAAGGAAGCCUCUGAGGCCAGGCUGGCAGAGUGGACCACUGAAGCACGGGUGAGUCCAGGCAGGUCAGACUUGGGAAGUGAACCUCCUAGGGACACUGGGGAUCCUGAAGCAGGAAGGACUGACCUAAUUUGAUCUGGCCCAGGACAGUUCCCUUCCAGAAAGAGGGGGCACUCACUGAGACCCCUGAGAACAAGUCAGGCCAGAGGAAGGCUGGGUCAGUAUCUAGAUGGACACGAGGCCUGGCCGGGUGAGAAUGGGGGCUCCUGGAGGACAGGCUGAGGUGUGAGUGGGCACCUUCUGGUGGAGCAUGGCCAGGGCCUCCUGAAGAGUGUCCUGUGAUCAUACCCAGCGACCACACCAGGGGUGCUGGGCAGGACGACCCGUGGUGGGUACUUGGGGCUGUGCCCCAGCCGAGCUGCCUGCCUCCCUGCCUCCUGUUCUGAUAGAUCCUAAGCCAGGCAGGCCGCUGGUGUCUGUGUCCAUACAACCAGGGCUUUUAUUGCAGCCCAGCAUGGUCAAGGCGUUGACUGGCCUGGACCAGGGAUCCCAACAAGGAAGAGGCCCAGAUGCUGGGCGGUGAGGAGGUGGGGUGCUGGUCAGGACAGGCUGUGCCCUCUGCCCUCAGCAGCCGAGAAGCAGGGAGGCCUGAGGCCCAGGAGGCAGGGCCUGCCCCCGGGAAGGUUGUAGCUUGUAUAGCCCUCAGCACAGUUUCAGGAGAUCUCAAGGAGAAGGUGACCCUGCCUGACCUCGCCUGGGGCAGACAGGUCAGCAAUGCUCUGGGGGCUAGGGCCAGAGCCCAGGGCCCUGAGAAGCUGCAGAGACCUCCCAGAGGCCAGUGCCUGGGCCUGGCGGGGCAGCCUCGUUAGGAAGGCCCACCUCAAGCUGGC
rnacentral:lncRNA from 1 species